UAGGGAAUCUUCGGCAAUGGGGGCAACCCUGACCGAGCAACGCCGCGUGAGUGAAGAAGGUUUUCGGAUCGUAAAGCUCUGUUGUAAGUCAAGAAAGAGAGUGAGAGAGUGGAAAGUUCACACUGUGACGGUUGCUUACCAGAAAGGGACGGCUAACUACGUGCCAGCAGCCGCGGUAAUACGUAGGUCCCGAGCGUUGUCCGGAUUUAUUGGGGGCGUAAAGCGAGCGCAGGCAGUUUGAUAAGUCUGAAGUUAAAGGCUGUGGCUCAACCAUAGUUCGCUUUGGAAACUGUCAAACUUGAGUGCAGAAGGGGAGAGUGGAAUUCCAUGUGUAGCGGUGAAAUGCGUAGAUAUAUGGAGGAACACCGGUGGCGAAAGCGGCUCUCUGGUCUGUAACUGACGCUGAGGCUCGAAAGCGUGGGAAGCGAACAGGAUUAGAUACCCUGGUAGUCCACGCCGUAAACGAUGAGUGCUAGGUGUUGGAUCCUUUCCGGGAUUCAGUGCCGCAGCUAACGCAUUAAGCACUCCGCCUGGGGAGUACGACCGCAAGGUUG
rnacentral:rRNA from 1 species